rnacentral:lncRNA from 1 species
CAACUGUUGGACCCAGUUAUCCCAUUCCUUGGUAUAUACCCAUGUUAAAAUCAGCAUACAACAGUGACACAAUGUUUAUAGCAGCUCCAUUCACAAUAGCUAAACUAUGGAAGCAACCUAGAUGCCCAUAAACAGGUGACUGGAUUUAAGAAAAUGUGGCAUAUUAUAAACAAUGAAAUAUUAUUCAGAUAUUUUGCCAUUCACCAGUAAGUUUAUGGAUUUAAUGACUAAUGCUAAGUGAAUUAAGCCAAUCACUCAAACCAAAAGCCAAAUAAAUGUUCUCUCUGAUAUGUGGAUGCUAACACACAAUAAGAGAGUUGUGUAGGGAAGAAUAGAUAAACCCCUAUCUCUCACCAUGCACAAAACUCAACUCAAAGUGGAUCAAGGACCUAGGAACCAGAGACCCUGCCUCUAAUAGAAGAAAAAGUUGGCCCCAAUCUCUGUCAUAUCGGAUUAGGCCCCUACUUCCUUAAGAAGUCUCCUGUAGCACAAGAAUUAAAAUCAAGAAUUAAUAAAUGGGAUGGAUUCAAAAUAAAAAGCUUCUUCUCAGCGAAAGAAACAAUCAUUGAGGUGAAUAGAGAGCCUACAGCUUGGGAGCAAAUUUUUACCAGUUGCACAUCAGAUAGAGCAUUAAUGUCUAGGGUAAAUGAAGAACUCAAAAAGCUAAACACCAAAAUAACAAAUAACCCAAUCAAUAAAUGGGCCAAGGAACUGAACAGGCACUUCUUAGAAGGUGAUAUACAAUCAAUUAACAAAUAUACGAAAAAAUGUUCAACAUCUCCAGCAAUUAGAGAAAUGCAAAUCAAAACUACUCUAAGAUUUCAUCUUAUUUUAGUUAGAAUGGC